GCCUCCGUGGUCCAGUGGUUUAGGGCAUCAAGCUGUUAUUCUCAUAACAACGACUUGAGAGUCGAUAGUUCGAUCCUAUCCGGGGGCG